UUCAUAAAAUAGCUUAAUAUUUGGAGUUGUUAUUUUUGUGUUAUUAGUAAACGAGUUUGUUAUGGUAAGAAUUAUCUAUUGCAAUUUUAAAGAUUAAGUAUAAGUGGGAACAGAUAAAACAAGGUACAAUUAUAUUCAAGUAGAAAUAGGUAUGUGUUUGUAUUAUACAGAAUGUUCAGUUAGUUUAAAAUACAAUAUACCAGCUAGGUGAUUCUAUUAACACUAGUCAUUCAAUUUCUCUUAAAAUAAUAAACACGUCAAGAAUAUUUCUUUGUAUUCAUAUAUUUUUUGUUAUAUCAGUUAUUAAUUACUUUUUUAAAUUCACCCCUUUUACCUUAUAAAAAAUGUUAUUUUAUUUUAGCUUCGAGGCGAAGUUGAAAAGGGAAGGUGCUGAAGAACAAAUUUUCUUUAAAUGACAUUUUUAAUGGAACCCAUAAUAAAUGCGUUACUAAAGAUAACUUUCUUUAUCCAAGCGAUUUAAUGACAUUAUUUUGCCGAAAAGAUGAAAUCAGUACGGAAUACAAUUUAUCAGCAUCCUGUUUACUAGACUGAUAUCCGAAUGAAACUCGAACAGAACCAGUAGGAAUACCAUCGAUAAGAUCAAAA